AACGAACGCUGGCGGCAUGCCUAACACAUGCAAGUCGAACGAGACCUUCGGGUCUAGUGGCGCACGGGUGCGUAACGCGUGGGAACCUGCCCUUAGGUUCGGAAUAACUCCCCGAAAGGGGUGCUAAUACCGGAUAAUGUCUUCGGACCAAAGAUUUAUCGCCUUUGGAUGGGCCCGCGUUGGAUUAGCUAGUUGGUAGGGUAAAAGCCUACCAAGGCGACGAUCCAUAGCUGGUCUGAGAGGAUGAUCAGCCACACUGGGACUGAGACACGACCCAGACUCCUACGGGAGGCAGCAGUGGGGAAUAUUGGACAAUGGGCGAAAGCCUGAUCCAGCAAUGCCGCGUGAGUGAUGAAGGCCUUAGGGUUGUAAAGCUCUUUUACCCGGGAUGAUAAUGACAGUACCGGGAGAAUAAGCUCCGGCUAACUCCGU
rnacentral:rRNA from 1 species